rnacentral:rRNA from 1 species
CCUACGGGGUGCUGCAGUGGGGAAUAUUGGACAAUGGGCGAAAGCCUGAUCCAGCCAUGCCGCGUGUGUGAAGAAGGCCUUCGGGUUGUAAAGCACUUUCAGUGGGGAAGAAAGCCUUGGGGCUAAUACCCUCGAGGAAGGACAUCACCCACAGAAGAAGCACCGGCUAACUCCGUGCCAGCAGCCGCGGUAAUACGGAGGGUGCGAGCGUUAAUCGGAAUUACUGGGCGUAAAGCGCGCGUAGGCGGUCUGAUAAGCCGGUUGUGAAAGCCCCGGGCUCAACCUGGGAACGGCAUCCGGAACUGUCAGGCUAGAGUGCAGGAGAGGAAGGUAGAAUUCCCGGUGUAGCGGUGAAAUGCGUAGAGAUCGGGAGGAAUACCAGUGGCGAAGGCGGCCUACUGGACUGACACUGACGCUGAGGUGCGAAAGCGUGGGUAGCAAACAGGAUUAGAUACCCGAGUAGUC